UGCGAGCCGACAGGUUAUCCGAAGUGGUUUCUGCUAAAGGAACCUUUUGUUAGUCCUAGAAACACUAACGAAUAAGGGGUGGGCAAGUUCUGGUGUCAGCCGCCGCGGUAAAACCAGCACCUCAAGUGGUCAGGAUGAUUAUUGGGCCUAAAGCAUCCGUAGCCGGCUCUGUAAGUUUUCGGUUAAAUCUGUACGCUCAACGUACAGGCUGCCGGGAAUACUGCAGAGCUAGGGAGUGGGAGAGGUAGACGGUACUCGGGAGGAAGUGGUAAAAUGCUUUGAUCUCUCGAUGACCACCUGUGGCGAAGGCGGUCUACCAGAACACGUCCGACGGUGAGGGAUGAAAGCUGGGGGAGCAAACCGGAUUAGAUACCCGGGUAGUCCCAGCUGUAAACUAUGCAAACUCAGUGAUGCAUUGGCUUGUGGCCAAUGCAGUAUUGCAGGGAAGCCGUUAAGUUUGCCGCCUGGGAAGUACGUACGCAAGUAUGAAACUUAAAGGAAUUGGCGGGGGAGCAC
rnacentral:rRNA from 1 species